GUCUAUAGCCAUGCCACCCUGAACAAGCCCGAUCCUGUCUGAUCUUGGAAGCUAAGCGGGUUGGCCCUGGUAGGUACUUGGAUGGGAGACCACCUACGAAGACCAGCUGCUAUAGGCG
rnacentral:rRNA from 1 species